GCCGGGGUGGCGGAAUUGGUAGACGCGAUGGACUUAAAAUCCAUUUCCAGUAAUAUGGAGUACCGGUUCAAUUCCGGUUCUCGGCA
rnacentral:tRNA from 1 species